rnacentral:lncRNA from 1 species
ACUAUAUAUAUAAAAUUUAUUAAAUAAAAAUUAUUGUUUAAAUAUACAUUCAUAUUUAAGAAUAUUUUAUAAGUUUAAUUUAAAAAAUAUGGUUAAUGUACAAAUAAUCCUCGAUUUUUAUGAGGUUCAGUAUGAAUCCUGAGGUUGUAAGUCAAAGUGGUCAGAAGUCAGAAAUUCCCAAAAUUUAUGGAUUGCCUACUAAAGUGAAGUGUAAUAUGUCUUAUUACACUUCACUUUAUCACAAUAAACUUAAUAUGCACAAAAAUACAAGAAUCAGACAUAAAAAAAGAGGUUUUCUGUAUAUCAAAUUAUUGUUUAUAGACUCACUCAUAUGAAUUGCAUUCACUAAUCAGAC